AUUGAACGCUGGCGGCAGGCUUAACACAUGCAAGUCGAGCGGAGAUGAGGUGCUUGCACCUUAUCUUAGCGGCGGACGGGUGAGUAAUGCUUAGGAAUCUGCCUAUUAGUGGGGGACAACAUUCCGAAAGGAAUGCUAAUACCGCAUACGCCCUACGGGGGAAAGCAGGGGAUCUUCGGACCUUGCGCUAAUAGAUGAGCCUAAGUCGGAUUAGCUAGUUGGUGGGGUAAAGGCCUACCAAGGCGACGAUCUGUAGCGGGUCUGAGAGGAUGAUCCGCCACACUGGGACUGAGACACGGCCCAGACUCCUACGGGAGGCAGCAGUGGGGAAUAUUGGACAAUGGGCGGAAGCCUGGUCCAGCCAUGCCGCGUGUGUGAAGAAGGCCUUUUGGUUGUAAAGCACUUUAAGCGAGGAGGAGGCUACCUGGAUUAAUACUCUAGGAUAGUGGACGUUACUCGCAGAAUAAGCACCGGCUAACUCUGUGCCAGCCGCCGCCGUAA
rnacentral:rRNA from 1 species